GAGAGGCUGGGGCUGCGGCUCAGCGUGGGCUCCCCUGGUGCGCAGCAGCAGCUGCGAGGAGCUCACUGCGGUUCUAGCCCCGCCGCAGCUGCUUAGACGCAGGUUUAACUUCUUUAUUCAGAAAAAAAUGUGGUUCAGAAAAGAACCCAGUAAGGUUGAACCUCGAAGAUCAGACACGGCAACAAGUGGUGAAGCAUACAAGAGAAGUGCUUUGAUUCCUCUGGUGGAAGAAACAGUCUUUUAUCUUUCUCCCUAUCCUAUAAGGACUCUCAUAAAACCUUUAUUUUUUUACUGUUGGGUUUACAGGCUGUGCAUUUGGAUCAGCUGCUAUUUGGCAAUACGAAUCACUGAAAUCCAGGGGUCCAGAGUUAUUUUGAUGGCAUAAAAGCUGAUUGGUUGGAUAGCAUAAGACCACAAAAAGAAGGAGACUUCAGAAAGGAGAUUAACAAGCGGUGGAAUAACCUAAGUGAUGGCCAGCGGACUCAGGUAUCAUAGCUGCAAACGUCCUUGUAUUCUGUUUGUGGAGAGUACCUUCUCUGCAGUGGACAGUGAUCUGAUAUUUCAAAUCUAAUCCAGCCUCAAAAGUGUUAUUUCCAAUUUUGUCAGUUAUGUGUGUAAAGUUGCCACACGAAGAUAUGGACCAUCACUUGGAAAUGCCCUACAAUCCAUUAACGCCACGGAUAUGGCAGGAAUGAUCCUGGGACGGAAAUUUUUUGAUUAUGCAGCACAUCUUGGGGGAGCUCUCUUUGGAAUAUGGUAUGUUACUUACCCUCAUGAACUGAUUUGGAAGAACAGGGAGCCUCUAGUGAAAAUCUGGCAUGAAAUGAGGACUAAUGCCCCCCCAAACAAGAGGUGGCUCUAAGUAAAACUGGGAUUGCACAGUACCGGUGCACCUGUCUUGUCCUGCCGGAGAGCCCCAGGAGACAUCGGCCCUAGAGUGAUCAUGGCUACGUUCCCGCCUGGAAGACGCCAGCAUCUGGCCUCCCACUGUUUUCAGCUGUGUCCCCGGGUCCGUGUCUUUUCAGAAAGUGAAAAUGACAUAGUUGUGACGUAAAGGUUUACAUCUAGUUCGU
rnacentral:lncRNA from 1 species